rnacentral:tRNA from 1 species
GGGCGGUUAGCUCAGCGGUAGAGCACUACCUUGUCAUGGUAGGGGUCACAGGUUCGAACCCUGUACCGCCCACCA